UACGUAGGGUGCGAGCGUUGUCCGGAAUUACUGGGCGUAAAGAGUUCGUAGGCGGUUUGUCGCGUCGUCUGUGAAAACCCACCGCUCAACGGUGGGCCUGCAGGCGAUACGGGCAGACUUGAGUACUGCAGGGGAGACUGGAAUUCCUGGUGUAGCGGUGAAAUGCGCAGAUAUCAGGAGGAACACCGGUGGCGAAGGCGGGUCUCUGGGCAGUAACUGACGCUGAGGAACGAAAGCGUGGGUAGCAAACAGGAUUAGAUACCCUGGUAGUCCACGCCGUAAACGGUGGGCGCUAGGUGUGGGUUCCUUCCACGGGAUCUGUGCCGUAGCUAACGCAUUAAGCGCCCCGCCUGGGGAGUACGGCCGCAAGGCUAAA
rnacentral:rRNA from 1 species